CAAUUGUUGAGGAGUUCAUGGCAGAUGAAAAUGAAUAUAGCUCGACAAUUGAAGAGGUUAGUAUUUAUUUCAAUUACUUGCUGUUGUUGACAAUUGACAUACUAUGUUUCAAUUUAAUAUGCACUAUCUGUAGGGACAGAACCAAGCUGACAAUGAAGGAAAUGGUGAGGAUAGUGAGGAUGAGGGCAGCGAUAUGGAGUUAUGAUUUUUCUGCAGCUGUUCAUGGGAGUCUGUUUCACAAGUUUCAGUGCUCCGAAGCCUAAGAUGAUGCUUAAAUCUUGGUUUUCGACAUUUUGGCGCUAGCUGGUAGCUGCUACACUUAAUCCUUAAUGUAGUAAUGACAAUGUAGUUCUAUUUUGGAGAGGCAUGUACUAUUGUGACAUUUUGGCGCUAGCUGGUAGCUGCUACGACAUUUUGGCUGCUAGCUGGUAGCUAGUUCUAUUGUGAC
rnacentral:lncRNA from 1 species